CACUCCUACGGGAGGCAGCAGUGGGGAAUUUUGGACAAUGGGCGAAAGCCUGAUCCAGCAAUGCCGCGUGAGUGAAGAAGGCCUUCGGGUUGUAAAGCUCUUUUGUCAGGGAAGAAACGGUGAGAGCUAAUAUCUUUUGCUAAUGACGGUACCUGAAGAAUAAGCACCGGCUAACUACGUGCCAGCAGCCGCGGUAAUACGUAGGGUGCAAGCGUUAAUCGGAAUUACUGGGCGUAAAGCGUGCGCAGGCGGUUUUGUAAGUCUGAUGUGAAAUCCCCGGGCUCAACCUGGGAAUUGCAUUGGAGACUGCAAGGCUAGAAUCUGGCAGAGGGGGGUAGAAUUCCACGUGUAGCAGUGAAAUGCGUAGAUAUGUGGAGGAACACCGAUGGCGAAGGCAGCCCCCUGGGUCAAGAUUGACGCUCAUGCACGAAAGCGUGGGGAGCAAACAGGAUUAGAUACCCUAGUAGUCCCA
rnacentral:rRNA from 1 species